CUUUAAUCCUACCAUCAAAAGCCAUAUUGAUAUAAUUUCAUUAGGUAUCAUGAAGAACUUCUCAAGCAUAGUUGUCUUUCUAUUUGCCCUUUUCAUUGCUCUCAGCACUGAGAUGAGAGGAUUACAUCUUGAAGCAAAAGAAUGUCAAUUUCCACUUCCAGGAGCUACCAAACCUUGUGAUCCAACAAAAUGCAACACUGAUUGUUUUGACAAGUACCAGGGAAAGCCUAAUCCUCCUGGUAUUUCAGGACAACUUCUUGGAGGAACUUGUUUUGGCGAUGAUUGUAAUUGCACUUUUUUGUGUUAAAUGUACUGCCCCUGAUCUCUGUUCAAGAAUUAAGUUACUAAAUACAUCUUAAUGGAAUAAACUGAUAUAAUUCUUCUUUGUUA